CAUGUCCUUUCUAUAACAAAAUAAUUCUCUUAGCUUUUCUCUGUAUUGCUCUACCACAUGGAAUGAAUUCAUAGUUUGAAUUGAGGAAUUUAAAAGGGAAAAGUGAUUCCAGGUAGGAGAUCCUUACAACAUUUUAAAUGAUAAUAAAAUCCACUUAACAGCUUGCUAUUCAAUCAUAAUGUGUAUAAAAAUAGACCCUGAUAAUAAACAGUAAUCCAUUCAGAGUUCAGCCAAGUGUUAUAUUGCAUAUUCCAUGAGACAUGUUAAUCAAAUUCCGGCUCCUUCAUGCACCCUAACCAGGAUUUAAUUUCCAUCUUUGAGUGUCAGGAGUCUUGCAGCACGUGGCCUUUUUCCUGACAGGAGAAUUGUUUCAGAGAAUACAGACAUCCAUGACAUGCAGAAGAGGCCUGGCUUUCACUGAAACUGAUGUUUGUUUCCAGGCUGCGAGGAUGUCAGUCCCACAAGGCGUUUUAUGCUUUAUGUAUACUGGGUAGUUUGGAGAGCACACGUCCUGUUUGAAGCUUCACUCAGCUUUACAUUUCUAGU